AUGAAAAUAACCAGAUCCAUAAUGACAAUGUCAUCUUCUAGGAUCGCUGGAGGACCUCUAGAAAGUACCAGAAGAUGCCCUCAGCAUUGUGUGUCUGGCUACAAUCGCAGAGCAAAAUGCUUCUCAGCUGUCUCCUUCUCUCUAUUGGCAACUACAUGGGAGAAGGGUGGCUACAGGAAGAAGCAGUGGCUUCUUGGUGAGAGGGAGAUAUCAAGGCUAUGCCAUCAAAGAGAGACCCAUGGCAUCUUCCCUGACACUCAGCCUCUGGUGAACCAGUCAUGCUUGGAAAAUGGGCAGUGAUGGAACUUCAAGCCAGAAAGCGGCAGAUGACCACAGAAUAUGCAAGAACAGCAAUGCAGUAGGAGUUUCUAUAGAAUUGGAUGAAAAGUCUUAAAUGUGUCUUGUAACAAUCACCAUCAUGGAACUCAAAAGUUGCAUCCACCUUCUGCCAAAUUAGGGAAGAAAGAUCACCUUUUCUUAAAGACAAUAUUCUACCUGUGCUGUGGAAGGUUUAGAGGAAAUUCCAACAACUUUAUGAUCUCCAUAAGGUUUAUGAAAUAGACAAGAGAGACAUCAUGCAAACCAACAUUGCAGUGGGCACGUCGAAUACAGUCUACUUGUCUAGGGGGCAUGAAUUGCAUCUGUGUGCAUAUCAACACUUAUAUACAUUAAGCUCCUCUAUAUAUGUGGGGAUUCUGACUGGGUCAUAUUCCAGUGACCAUGCUGCUUGAGGACAAUGGGAAUUGUAGAACGACAACAUCUGGAAGGCACUAGGUUGGGAAAUAUGGUCUACAAUCUUAUGCUGUUGAUACUGACUGCUUUGUAACUGUGCUCCAGCUUCUUGGAUCAUCUAACACAAGAGGAGUCAAGUUAUGUAUGCAUAUUUUUAUAAUAUCAAAAUGCUUUCUGUUAUUAAAAGAAUGUAAAGAGGAUGUGUGUGUGUGUUUAUGUUAUUACAAAAUAAUUGUGUGGACAUUUAUGAAAAGGGGCAACUAGUUUUGUGUGGAAAGAUUUAGCUUUCUUUGAAAACCAUGGCUGAAGCCUUAGAAAAAUAAGGGAAAGGGGAUAGAAAUUGAAAAUGAUUCCUACAAUAAAGGUCACAAUAUUUGUGACCAAGUCAGUGUGACUUUGUGCUAUUGUUAAUUUACACAGUAGUACAAAGCUG
rnacentral:lncRNA from 1 species